CACAAAUAUGAGGUAGGGUGUGCUAGGGCAGUUUGCGGGCUGCAUAUCUCUUACCCUUGUCUUUUGAGUACCUUCGUUGUUCCUCGGCGGGUCCGCCCGCACCAUUGGACAAUUAUAAAUCAUUUAUGCAGUUGCAAUCAGCGUCAGUAUAAAAACUGUAAUCAUUUA
rnacentral:misc_RNA from 1 species